rnacentral:tRNA from 1 species
GGAAUUGUGGCUCAGUGGUAGAGCGCUUGCCUAGCAUGUGUGAGACACUGGGUUUGAUUCUCAGCACCA